UUUUUCAGUAGUUUAAGACAUGCAAAUCGUUGUUCCCAACGUCCUUUUUAUAAUUAAUAUUAUAAUGUCAAUGGGAUUAGGGGAUAAGGUGUAGAGGUGAGUAUGUUAAAUAAGAUACCCUAUAGUCUUCUUAGCUAGGAGAUAUAAAGUAAAGGAAAAUUUCUGCUAUAGGAUUCUAUUUAAUUUGAUUAGGUAGUUGAUAGGGUAACGGCCUACCAAGCCAACAAUCAAAAGUCAAGUUUGAAAGAACCUCUGGCCACAUUGGGGAUGAAAUCUCCCAAGUAGUAAUAACACUACCAGCAGUCGAGAAUAUUAGUCAAUGCUCGUAAGAGUGAACUAGCUAACUGAAAUCAUAGAAUUUUUUUAAGUUCAUGAUGUCGUAAGGGAAAAUAAUGAUAAUACCUUACUAUGAGUGUCGUCCAAAUCUGGUGCCAGAAGACUCGGUAAGACCAGAGACGCAAACGUUAAUCAUCAUAAACAGGCGUAAAGGGUUUGUAGGCAGCUUUUAUAAUAUUAAAAAAAAAUUAAUUUAAUUGAAAGCUAGAAUCAAAAAGAGGUUAUAGUGUAUAACGCCUAGAGGAGGGCUGAUAUCCAUAGAUCCUAGGCAGAAUACUCAGGGCGAAGGCCACUCUCCACUAAUGAUUGACGCUGAGAAACGAAGGUUAGGGUAGGAAAUAGGAU
rnacentral:rRNA from 1 species